rnacentral:rRNA from 1 species
CGAUGAACCACUUCGGUGGGGAUUAGUGGCGAACGGGUGAGUAACACGUGGGCAAUCUGCCCUGCACUCUGGGACAAGCCCUGGAAACGGGGUCUAAUACCGGAUACUGAUCCUCGCAGGCAUCUGCGAGGUUCGAAAGCUCCGGCGGUGCAGGAUGAGCCCGCGGCCUAUCAGCUAGUUGGUGAGGUAACGGCUCACCAAGGCGACGACGGGUAGCCGGCCUGAGAGGGCGACCGGCCACACUGGGACUGAGACACGGCCCAGACUCCUACGGGAGGCAGCAGUGGGGAAUAUUGCACAAUGGGCGAAAGCCUGAUGCAGCGACGCCGCGUGAGGGAUGACGGCCUUCGGGUUGUAAACCUCUUUCAGCAGGGAAGAAGCGAAAGUGACGGUACCUGCAGAAGAAGCGCCGGCUAACUACGUGCCAGCAGCCGCGGUAAUACGUAGGGCGCAAGCGUUGUCCGGAAUUAUUGGGCGUAAAGAGCUCGUAGGCGGCUUGUCACGUCGGUUGUGAAAGCCCGGGGCUUAACCCCGGGUCUGCAGUCGAUACGGGCAGGCUAGAGUUCGGUAGGGGAGAUCGGAAUUCCUGGUGUAGCGGUGAAAUGCGCAGAUAUCAGGAGGAACACCGGUGGCGAAGGCGGAUCUCUGGGCCGAUACUGACGCUGAGGAGCGAAAGCGUGGGGAGCGAACAGGAUUAGAUACCCUGGUAGUCCACGCCGUAAACGGUGGGCACUAUGUGUGGGCAACAUUCCACGUUGUCCGUGCCGCAGCUAACGCAUUAAGUGCCCCGCCUGGGGAGUACGCCGCAGCUAAAACUCAAGAAAUGACGGGGCC